rnacentral:rRNA from 1 species
UCGAACGGUAGCACAGUGAGCUUGCUCUCGGGUGACGAGUGGCGGACGGGUGAGUAAUGUCUGGGAAACUGCCCGAUGGAGGGGGAUAACUACUGGAAACGGUAGCUAAUACCGCAUAAUGUCGCAAGACCAAAGAGGGGGACCUUCGGGCCUCUUGCCAUCGGAUGUGCCCAGAUGGGAUUAGCUUGUAGGUGGGGUAACGGCUCACCUAGGCGACGAUCCCUAGCUGGUCUGAGAGGAUGACCAGCCACACUGGAACUGAGACACGGUCCAGACUCCUACGGGAGGCAGCAGUGGGGAAUAUUGCACAAUGGGCGCAAGCCUGAUGCAGCCAUGCCGCGUGUAUGAAGAAGGCCUUCGGGUUGUAAAGUACUUUCAGCGAGGAGGAAGGCGUUGUGGUUAAUAACCACAGCGAUUGACGUUACUCGCAGAAGAAGCACCGGCUAACUCCGUGCCAGCAGCCGCGGUAAUA